rnacentral:rRNA from 1 species
UACGGAGGAGGCAAGCGUUAUCCGGAAUUAUUGGGCGUAAAGCGUCCGCAGGUGGCACUUCAAGUCUGUCGUCAAAGACUGGGGCUUAACCCUGGAAAGGCGGUGGAAACUGAACAGCUAGAGUAUGGUAGGGGCAGAGGGAAUUCCUGGUGUAGCGGUGAAAUGCGUAGAUAUCAGGAAGAACACCGACGGCGUAGGCAGCGCCCUGGACGACACCUGACGCUGAGGCACGAAAGCUGGGGGAGCGAACAGG